rnacentral:lncRNA from 1 species
AGGAAGAGUCAUUGGGUGGAAGAUCAUGGUGUUUACGACAUCCGUUAUGACUUUGGAGUUAUCUACAUCGAUUGGAAUUCAGGAACAUCCAGAUUAAAGGUAUGUGGCUUUACUCUCUAGAUCUAUGAUUUCUAUGGUAUCAAUAGUGAUUUUUGAAUACCUGGUUUUCCACUAUGAUAGAUUUAGAGAGCCUAUGACAGAUUUUCAUACAUCCUAUGAGAUCCAGG